GAGUUUGAUCCUGGCUCAGGAUGAACGCUGGCGGCGUGCUUAACACAUGCAAGUCGAACGAAGCACUCUUUUAGAUUUCCUUCGGGGAAGAAGAAAUUGUGACUGAGUGGCGGACGGGUGAGUAACGCGUGGGCAACCUGCCCCAUACAGGGGGAUAACAGCCGGAAACGGCUGCUAAAACCGCAUAAGCGCACAAGGGCCGCAUGGCCUGGUGUGAAAAACUCCGGUGGUAUGGGAUGGGCCCGCGUCUGAUUAGCUAGUUGGCGGGGGAGAGGCCCACCAAGGCGACGAUCAGUAGCCGACCUGAGAGGGUGGCCGGCCACAUUGGGACUGAGACACGGCCCAAACUCCUACGGGAGGCAGCAGUGGGGAAUAUUGCACAAUGGGGGAAACCCUGAUGCAGCGACGCCGCGUGAGCGAAGAAGUAUUUCGGUAUGUAAAGCUCUAUCAGCAGGGAAGAAAAAUGACGGUACCUGAGUAAGAAGCACCGGCUAAAUACGUGCCAGCAGCCGCGGUAAUACGUAUGGUGCAAGCGUUAUCCGGAUUUACUGGGUGUAAAGGGAGCGCAGGCGGUGCGGCAAGUCUGAUGUGAAAGCCCGGGGCUCAACCCCGGGACUGCAUUGGAAACUACCGAACUAGAGUGUCGGAGAGGUAAGUGGAAUUCCUAGUGUAGCGGUGAAAUGC
rnacentral:rRNA from 1 species